CGCUUCAGCGUCAGUUACUAUGUGCAACUUGAUGUGUGCGUAUGUCCGCAAGUUCGCUCUGCUCGGAAUCUGCAUUUUAGUAGCCAGCGCGUUCUGGUGGUGCUUCUGCUGCUGCAUCUACUCGGCGAUGUUAGGCAGCCGCGGCGACGAAAGUUGGUCCUAAGAACGGCCAGUAAUUUCGGUUUCGCGAGAAUUAAUGCAAACCUGAUGUGGUACGACUGAGCCGAACUCCAAAAAAUCGAGUGUGAGAGAAAACCGUACGAAAUAUAGCAGAAGAAAAAAAAACAACAGCACAACAACAACCAGCUGGAUAGUUCGAAAGAAGAUCUGCGAGAAGAUGUUGAUGAAGAAAUUUGCGAGUUGCUGACGGUUGUUUGCCAUCACGCGGCGAAGAUAGCGAGUGUUGUGCCAGUGUUUUUGUUGGUAUUCUGUUUUGUACCCUCGGUUCCGUUGUUCGGUGCGGUCGGAACGAAUGAAAAUUGAAUGUGAAGUUGUUACAGUUGAAGGUCGUCCGUUUUCGCCAUCACCGUUUCCUCAUCUCAUCGCAUUCUUGGCGCGUUUGAGCCGCGCGAAAGCAACGCGCAAAAGAGCUCAGAACCACCAUUCACUACUACCCGACAGCGACGAGGUGUAGGUACGAAGGUUCCGAUUGAAAUUUCAAAGGAUCUCAACAUCAACAUCGCAGCAGAAGCAGCAGCAGCAGUGGCGUGGCCGGUCACUCUCCAACGUCUCCAGCCGCAGCAGCCGAUCUCCGUGAGACUGGACGGGGGUACAUACUUGUGUACUUCUCAAGUGUGCACUUUUGUGGUGCUGAAAUUUCGCUCUCCACCCCACUAACAGUCCCAUUAUGUGAAAUUAUUCGUACCGUUUUACUGUUGAAGAGUUUUUAGUUUUUCGGAAACUUGCUCCGUCUGUGUGCACGGUGGAUUGCAUUUCGAUUGUUCGGUGGAUUUUCUUCUUCGAGUGUUGUUGUGCGACUGUUUUACUCCAAUGUUUACACGUUUAUGAUCGCUAGUAAAGAAUCGAAAACCUAUAUAAAAAAAGGAAACAUUGCAAUUCCAUUUUACAGCGUUUAUGAUGUUAAAAUUCAAUUGAAUUGUUCGACUAUCAGGAAAUCAAGCUUUAUUUGGCGAUUAUUUGCUCAGUGUGAAAGUGCAACGGUGUGAACAUACGAAGAAAGGUGAAGGGCACAAAAAAAACAAACCAAAGCGGCGUCCGAAAUGUGAAGUACAUAACCGUCAUCGGGAUACAAACAGCAUCAGAUCUGAAAAAUAAACUGAAGAAACAAAACCCGACUGUAUCCAGAACUUCAACAGCGGCUCAACAGGAAGGAGAACUUUUGCCACCAGAAAUCCAGUAACGCAAUUUCUGCUCUAUCCGCCCCCAAAUUACCGUAUUCGUUACACCUAAAACAAACCCG